GCAGAGGUAUGUUUACCCCAAAUUACAUCAUUUUUAUGUGAGUUUUGUGGUAUUUAAACCUAAGAAAAAUCCUCAAAGGUACAUCUCUGUGUCCAAAUGUUACCAUCCCAGUGAAAACUUCUGUACCUUUUUAGGAGUGUAUAAGAUUACAGGUCACAUAAUAACUGAAGCUUGAGAUGCUUUUGUUGUACUAUAGCUCUCAGUUACAAAUACAUGUCUAAAGGAAGGAUGCAUGUCUUUCUGUCUUUUUCAUUUCUGAAUUCAAGCAAUGAUUGUUAAAGGGAUAGUUCGGCCAAAAAUGAUAUUAAACCCAUUAUUUACUCACCCCCAAGCUGUCCGAGAUGCAUAUGUCCAUCGUUUUUCAGACAAACACAUUUUCAGAUAUUUAAGAAAAUGUUUUAGAUCUUUCAGUUAAUUAAAUGUGAAGUUACGGGGUCCACGUCCUUCAAGUCCAAUAAAAGUGUGUCCAUCCUUCACAAAGUAAAUCCAAACGGAAAAAAAGCCUAAACUGAGCAAAAACAAUAGGGCUUUGCACCCACGGUGACAUUCUGGCCUGCUCCUCUGUGCUCAGGCCCUAAUUAUAACAAUAGCAUUUUAACAAAGUUUUAUUCUCACGCAUAGUUGGAUUCUAAGCACAGUUUUAUAAAUGAGACACCAGAUGAAGUAACUUCCUCUUGAAAAUAUGACGUGUGGAAUAUUAUUAUUAACUCACACCAAAUUUAGCAGAGUUAAAAUCACGAUGUUAAUGGUAAUAUAAAGAGUUCAGAGUUAAUUUAACACUGGAUUUAGUUAAAACUAUUUUAUUUUACUCUAUGAAAAUUAAGAGUUGGUGUCAAAACAGAGUGUUACCACUUUUAAAAAAAAUCAACUCCUACAGUGUUUUGUUUGUUAACUCCUAGGGUGUUAAAUAGAGAAGACCUCCUCCUUUUUACAGCACACACUGAACUGUGUUUUUGGAUGAUGUAGUUCAAGCAGAAUAUCAUCUCUUUCACUGUAAAUGGAGAUUUGCUUUGGGAACUUUGGAGGACCACAGAAAUAGGACAUGAAAAUGUUUUCAGACGAAGAGCAAUUUUAUAACAAAAAACGUUCAAUAUCCAGUCUGAAGGUCUGACCGAGCAUCAUAUCACCUCCUUACAGCUACUGGUUCAUCAUUUUCUGCUGUUAUUAUGUGAAAACCAUCAUGGCUUUUGGAUUGAAAUGAAGUCAAACUUGUUUGUAUGAACUGAAGCAUCCCAUAAACUGUGUUUAUAAAUAUUUGUACUUUUGUUAUACAUUGGGAAUGUGCCUUUUAGUUGUCUCGGAUGUUAAUAUAUGUGAAUAUAAUUAACUCUUAAAGGCAGGAUACAUUGAGGACAAUUUUUCUGUCAUAAAUGUUGAUCAGAUGACAUUAAAAAAAUCCUUAAAAGUUUUAUAAUGAGAAUGAUAGAUUAUACUGCUGUAUUGUUACAUUUUUAAAAACUGUUUGA